rnacentral:rRNA from 1 species
UGCGGAAGGAUCAUUAACGAACAACGGGGUUCGCCCCUUGUCCACAAACACACCCCCGUGCACGUUGAAGGCCCGGCUCGUUGAGUGGGUGGGCGACCGCCCAGGAUUCGUAGCCUCGCUUUCUUACACAAACUUCAGAAUGUACAUCAGAAUGUCUUACGCGUGUAACGCAUCGUAAUAUAACUUUCAGCAACGGAUCUCUUGGCUCUCGCAUCGAUGAAGAACGCAGCGAAAUGCGAUAAGUAAUGUGAAUUGCAGAAUUCAGUGAAUCAUCGAAUCUUUGAACGCACCUUGCGCUCCUUGGCAUUCCGAGGAGCAUGCCUGUUUGAGUGUCAUGAAACUCUCAACCCCUGCCAUCUUUGCGGAUGAGCGUCGGUUGGAUUUUGGAGGUUGCCGGACUCGUUCGGCUCCCCUUGAAAGCAUAGUAAAGCUUGGACCUGACCGACCGGGUGGACGUGAUAGAAAGUCACCGUCGACCGAAGGGUCCGUCGCUGAACGGUUCAAGCUUUGUUUGUCGUCUUCGGACGAACAUCUCUGACCUCUGACCUCAAAUCAGGUAGGACUACCCGCUGAACUUAAGCAUAUCAAUAAGCGGAGGAAAAGAAACUAACGAGGAUUCCCCUAGUAACUGCGAGUGAAGCGGGAAAAGCUCAAAUUUAAAAUCUGGCGGUCUUUGGCCGUC